GAUGAACGCUGGCGGCGUGCCUAAUACGUGCAAGUCGAGCGAACUGAUUAGAAGCUUGCUUCUAUGACGUUAGCGGCGGACGGGUGAGUAACACGUGGGCAACCUGCCUGUAGGACUGGGAUAACUUCGGGAAACCGAAGCUAAUACCGGAUAGGAUCUUCUCCUCCAUGGGAGAUGAUUGAAAGAUGGUUUCGGCUAUCCUUUACAGUUGGGCCCGGGGUGCAUUAGCUAGUGGGUGAGGUAACGGCUAACCAAGGCAACGAGGCAUAGCCGACCUGAGAGGGUGAUCGGCCACACUGGGACGGAGACACGGCCCAGACUCCUACGGGAGGCAGCAGUAGGGAAUCUUCCGCAAUGGACGAAAGUCUGACUGAGCAACGCCGCGUGAGUGAUGAAGGCUUUCGGGUCGUAAAACUCUGUUGUUAGGGAAGAACAAGUACAAGAGUAACUGCUUGUACCUUGACGGUACCUAACCAGAAAGCCACGGCUAACUACGUGCCAGCCGCCGCCGUAA
rnacentral:rRNA from 1 species